CCAACCGUUGCCAAACUAAAAAUGUGCCUGAGCAAAAACACCACUUAAAGUCAUAAAAUAUUUACUUUAAUGUUGCAGCUUGAUAAGGAUGUAGCACCCUGGACCUUUGAACCCCCGCUCUUUUUUUUUCUGCCGUCAUCACACAGGUUGGGAUGAGCCUUGACCCUGUAAUCCUUGCUUUUGUGGCCUUUGUGUCAAUGACGGCGUUGGCAUCUUUUGUCUUGGUUAUCCGGACAUUCUGCUUCCCACUCGGUGAGACCAACCAUCGAUACCUUUCGCUCAGACAGCUGAAUGAGGAAAGUCCAGCGAUGUCAGCGGAAGCACAAUACAACUCAGAUGAGGAUCUGCUGGAAUAGCAGCCCAAUGACUGCUGGAAGUGACCAUGCCAUGACUGCUAGAGCAUUCUUAAAACACACUGACAAUUUCACCAAACCCCCUUCAACAAGUGUAAAACCUCAAAUCUUUGCAAGGCAUAUUUAUAUUCUCCUCUGUUAUCUUGAUCUUGACAAAAUAAGCCGAGGUGUUCUGUGCGUUUUGGCUAGACGACAACAGCACUGACAAUCCAUGUUACAAAUUGUUCCCGACACAGCUGCACAUGUGAAAAAAAGCCGUUUCUAGCUGAUGCAAUAUCCUCUCACUGGUCAUUUUUGACAUGACACGAAAUAUAAUAAACUUCAAGCAAUGAAUACCAAGAAAUAUGAGAAAAACACCAUUUCACUAGCAACGCAGUAAAGGUCACUAAUUGUCGCAUGUGCAUUUUCAUUUCUAACGGCAGGUUGAAAAUGGCUGUUGAAUAUAUACAACAUUAUCAUGUUAUAAAAUAAGUGGCGUCACAUGGCCAUCUGACAUUUGGGGUGUCUCAAACGCCAUAAUUGACUUCUAAAAAUAAUCCGCUCUGUCUGCGAGUGGGCCGGCUUCCCUUUUUCAAGCCUUAUUUUCCUGCUUACAUUAGCUGACUUGAAAGGACAAGAAAAAACGAUCAAUGUGACUGCAGAGUUUUUCCCAGAAGCCGGAAUACACACGUGCCACAAAAGUAAACUCAUAUUUUAACAUGUAGUAUUCAGUGUGUGUCUAGUUUCUGGUAAUAUUUGAACUUAUACCAAUACCAGUACCAUUUAUGCAUUCAAACUCCGCACAGGAGGUCCUGGGCUCAGGGUCGAACCCAGAACAUGGCUGGGAGGCAAAUGUGGUUACCAAUUGGUCACUGUGCUGCUUCUAAAGACUUUUGAUUGUGUUGUUUUAGUCUUCCCCAAAAACAUAUUUAUUAGAAAAAAAAUCCACUACAGAGCCAAUUCUCUUGCCAAUUGAUGUAAAUAUCCUAAUAGUUUGAAUGUGUUAAUGGCAGUGCAAAGACGCCCUAUGCUGGCCGUGCGCGGUAUUACAUUGCUUGACCUUGUUCAUGUAUAAGAAAAAGUAAACCUCUUCCCUCACUGUUUAAGGCACACUUUAGAUGUAAAAGUUUUAUAUUAUGGGACCUUGUGCUUUAUUGAUUUAAUGGGCUUUUCACCAUUACUAUUGGUGUGUGUUUGUGCUUUACAAAUAUGUUUGUCAUCAAUACAAACAUAAGGGUUUAUCUUGUUUUUUUCAUUGGUCUUCUAGUAGUGACUGUGAAGUCCUUUUAUACCUAACCAUAACAUAUUUUUUAAAACAAAACGUUUGUUUCGAAUUGAAUAUAGGACAAACGAUUUUCAAAUCAUCAAAUUCUAGUUUUAUUUACAUUGCACACAGUGAUUAAACUUCAGUGGAAUUUGAGCUUGUCGGAAGAAUGUCGCCUUUUCACAGAAGAAUGUUGCUUGGUGAGCACAUAGAUUUUUCAUAAUUGUCUUAAAUCAUGAAUAAAAUAAUAAAAGAAAAUAUUAUAUAAUACAAAUAUUGAACGCUUUAGAUACAACCUUCUAUGUAUUUCCAACUUGUCUUCUUAAACCAUCUCGGAUGAAUAACUCCUUUUAGAGAAGCUGGCUUUUUUUUUUUUUUAACACUAGCUGACGCACACCUUCGGAAGGCCAAUAUCAAAAGUCUGAAAAUUGUGGGGAAUUAUUGUGAUAUGUCGAAGAAACAUUCUUCUCAAACUCAGUGUGACAAUUUUCUGUCAAGGUGAGAAUCGUAUUCAUUUUGUACAAGAGUGUAUGAGCGCCACACCAGUGUAAGAGAAACAGCCUUUGUAAUAUUAUGAAUCGGGAAGUCCUAGUAAAUGAAUUACCGCCGAAGGUAUGACAAAGAAAUUAUUCUCACAUUCUUUCAGGCUGUUGUGUUGCUUCUGUCUGGUGACUCUUCGAGUGUAAGAAUAAAGAAUUGCACCUUA